CAAUAGCGUAUAUUAAAGUUGUUGCAGUUAAAAAGCUCGUAGUUGGAUUUCUGGUGGGAGCGAUCGGUCUGGCGCUUAGCGCGAGUACUUGCAUCGUCUCCGGCCAUCCUUGGGGAGAGUCUGUCUGGCAUUAAGUUGUCGGGCAGAGGAUCCUCAUCGUUUACUGCGAAAAAAUUAGAGUGUUCAAAGCAGGCUUAUGCCGUUGAAUAUAUUAGCAUGGAAUAAUAAGAUAGGACUUUGGUACUAUUUUGUUGGUUUGCGCACCAAAGUAAUGAUUAAUAGGGACAGUUGGGGGUAUUCGUAUUCCGUUGUCAGAGGUGAAAUUCUUGGAUUUACGGAAGACGAACUACUGCGAAAGCAUUUACCAAGGAUGUUUUCAUUAA
rnacentral:rRNA from 1 species